GGCCGACUAGCUCAGUUGGUUAGAGCGUCGUGCUAAUAACGCGAAGGUCGUCGGUUCGACCCCGGCGUUGGCCA
rnacentral:tRNA from 2 species